rnacentral:misc_RNA from 1 species
AUAUGUGCCAAGACGACAAUACGACAGACAAACAAUCACUCAUAGCUUCGGACAUCGAUCUUGAGGGAGGUUCUGAAGCUGAUGAAGAGGUCCCUCGUGUGAAAACACUUUCGUUGUGGAUAUCUGUUCCGUUGAAUGCUGCAGUAUGUUGGAUGUGUACCAAUGUCACAGACAGAAUCGUCAACUCCAUCCACAAGAGAGACUACUCAAACGGCUUCGACUGGGUGGCCUUUUGGUUAACUGUCGCCAUAUUUUUUUCCCUCUGGGGGUCCUAUUUUGUCGCCUUUGUUGCCUACAUUAGGCACAGAAACCGGGAUUACCUCAAGUGGCAGAAGAAGAAGGAGUACCAGGCGAGGCUUGAGGCCCCAGACCAAUCUGAGGAGAAGGAAUCUGAACCUUUUCUUAGUGAGAAGUAUGAGGAGUGAAGAUGUGGCGAAAGGUGUCAACACCAGGCUCGCAGUUGAUAUGUUAAAUAUGAACGAAAUCAAAACACAGUAUGUACUGUACAUGGGUAAAAGUGAACACCAACGUAUUUACAACGCAGAGGAGACGGGAACGAGGUGGCAUUGCGGACGCCCAUAGAGGUGGAAAGAGCAAUAGCAGAGUUGGUAUGGGUGGUGGUCCCAGCCCAGCAGUACUGCUGUUUCGUAGGUACGAGUACAUAUGGUCACAGUGUACUCCUGUCAAUCCGCUGUUACUUUAAGUAAAUUGCUA